CCUACGGGCGGCAGCAGUGGGGAAUAUUGCACAAUGGGCGCAAGCCUGAUGCAGCCAUGCCGCGUGUGUGAAGAAGGCCUUCGGGUUGUAAAGCACUUUCAGCGGGGAGGAAGGCGGUGAGGUUAAUAACCUCAUCGAUUGACGUUACCCGCAGAAGAAGCACUGGCUAACUCCGUGCCAGCAGCCGCGGUAAUACGGAGGGUGCAAGCGUUAAUCGGAAUUACUGGGCGUAAAGCGCACGCAGGCGGUCUGUCAAGUCGGAUGUGAAAUCCCCGGGCUCAACCUGGGAACUGCAUUCGAAACUGGCAGGCUAGAGUCUUGUAGAGGGGGGUAGAAUUCCAGGUGUAGCGGUGAAAUGCGUAGAGAUCGGGAGGAAUACCGGUGGCGAAGGCGGCCCCCUGGACAAAGACUGACGCUCAGGUGCGAAAGCGUGGGGAGCAAACAGGAUUAGAUACCCGGGUAGUC
rnacentral:rRNA from 1 species